UGCAAGUAGAACGCUGGAGGAGGAGCUUGCUUCUCUGGAUGAGUUGCGAACGGGUGAGUAACGCGUAGGUAACCUGCCUGGUAGCGGGGGAUAACUAUUGGAAACGAUAGCUAAUACCGCAUAAUAGUAGAUGUUGCAUGACAUUUGCUUAAAAGGUGCAAUUGCAUCACUACCAGAUGGACCUGCGUUGUAUUAGCUAGUUGGUGGGGUAACGGCUCACCAAGGCGACGAUACAUAGCCGACCUGAGAGGGUGAUCGGCCACACUGGGACUGAGACACGGCCCAGACUCCGACGGGAGGCAGCAGUAGGGAAUCUUCGGCAAUGGACGGAAGUCUGACCGAGCAACGCCGCGUGAGUGAAGAAGGUUUUCGGAUCGUAAAGCUCUGUUGUAAGAGAAGAACGAGUGUGAGAGUGGAAAGUUCACACUGUGACGGUAUCUUACCAGAAAGGGACGGCUAACUACGUGCCAGCAGCCGCGGUAAUACGUAGGUCCCGAGCGUUGUCCGGAUUUAUUGGGCGUAAAGCGAGCGCAGGCGGUUAGAUAAGUCUGAAGUUAAAGGCUGUGGCUUAACCAUAGUACGCUUUGGAAACUGUUUAACUUGAGUGCAAGAGGGGAGAGUGGAAUUCCAUGUGUAGCGGUGAAAUGCGUAGAUAUAUGGAGGAACACCGGUGGCGAAAGCGGCUCUCUGGCUUGUAACUGACGCUGAGGCUCGAAAGCGUGGGGAGCAAACAGGAUUAGAUACCCUGGUAGUCCACGCCGUAAACGAUGAGUGCUAGGUGUUAGACCCUUUCCGGGGUUUAGUGCCGCAGCUAACGCAUUAAGCACUCCGCCUGGGGAGUACGACCGCAAGGUUGAAAC
rnacentral:rRNA from 1 species